rnacentral:misc_RNA from 1 species
AACACUGUUAACCUGCGGUACCUGCGGAAGGAUCAUUAUUGAAUGAAUUUAGAGUUGGUUGUUGCUGGCUUUCGGGCAUGUGCACACCUUCUCUUUCAUCCACACACACCUGUGCACUUGUGAGACAGGAAAGAGGGCCUUAAUUGGCUUUUUUUUUUCCUGUCUACUUAAUUACACAAACUCAUUUAUUUUAAACUGAAUGUAAUUGAUGUAACACAUCAUAAUUAAAUACUAACUUUC